AUGAAAUAUACUCACGUUUAAUUGCAAGUACACACAUGAUGGUGUCAGGCUCUGUGCUCCACACUCCAGCAUUAGUGCAAGUGAUGAUGAUGGGUCCAGUCAGUGAGAGUCCAUUGUCACAUUGUCCACUAUAGUACCAUUGGAUGGCUCAACAGGAACAGUGCAGUUGACUGUGUAUACAACAGUAAAAUAAGUGACAGCACUACCUGGAAAAAUCCUGCACUACAGUACUGCGAUCAAUCUCACUAUGAAACUCACCGAUUGUUGGACACACAAAAUUCUCAGGGUUAGGAUUCCAUCGUCCAUCACUGCCACAGAUAGAGGUUCUUAUCUGAUCACUCCCAGAACAAGUGAAGGUCAGUGUGGAGUCCACAGUAGGUACACUGGGUGUCUGGACAUUGACCACUCCAAUAGCAGUAGAGAGGGAGGAAGGACAAGAAACUGCAUGGAUUGAGAAUAGAGGUAAGUUAAACAAAACUCUACAAAUUAAGUGACACAUUAAUGCUUGCUGACCUGUGGACAGUGUAGUAAACAACAUUGAGGCAUUGCUCAUUCCAGCACAGUUGACAGCUCUGAUAGACACAUUGUAGGGAGUGUUGUAGGAGAUGGUUAUCUGUGCUGAGGUAGUCUCCACGGUGACUGGUGAUCCGGAGAGAGGUGUUAGGGAAAUGGUGAGAAUAUACAUGACAGACACACCACCAGUGAAGGAGGGAGGGUCCCAAUUCAAAGUGAUAAUGGAAAACCUGACUAGGUUUUGUUGAGAAGUCACUAUCAGAGCAGAUGGAGAAGAUGGAGGCUCUGUUUGAGAUGCAAUAACACUAUUAGAUCUACACAACAGCAUUUACUAUUUUUUUGUCAUUCACCGGCUACAUUGAUUGUGAGUGACUCAGUUAUAUCCCCCAAACAGCUCACAACACUGCCGUUUAGCCUAGACACUUCAGUGAUGGUUGUGAGGGUAGAGCAGGUGGUAUACUACCAGUUGAAGAAGUUAUAACCUGUGUUACCGACACAAGAUAGUCAGGUGUAGGGUCAACUCUCCACAAAAGUGAAGUUCUACCAACAGAGCAGGUGAAGACAACAGGGUCAUUUGGGCAUGCCACACCAUCACCACUGCUGGAUGUCAACUGGUUGGCUGUGAACAAAGUGUACAUGCAUGUAUGUACUAUA